AACUAAUGAAAUGUUGUUUCAGGUGUGUGUGAAAGGGCCAAACGUCUUUUCUGGUUAUUUGAAAGAUCCAGAGAAAACAGCAGAGGCUCUUGACAAAGAUGGCUGGCUUCAUACAGGAGAUAUUGGGAAAUGGCUACCUAAUGGUACACUGAAGAUCAUUGACCGGAAAAAACACAUAUUUAAACUGGCCCAGGGAGAGUACAUAGCACCAGAGAAAA